ACUCCAGCUUUGAUUUCCAUUUGCAUGGAAUAUCUUUUUCCGCCCCCUCACUUUCAGUCUGUAUGUGUCCCUAGGUCUGAAGUGGCUCUCUUGUAAACAGCAUAUAUAUGGGUCUUGUUUUUGUAUCCAUUCAGUGAGCCUUCGUCUUUUGGUUGGAGUGUUUAAUCCAUUCACAUUUAAGGUAAUUGUCGAUAUGUAUGAUCCUAUUACCUUUUUCUUAAUUGUUUUGGGGUUUUUUUUGUAGGUCUUUUUCUUCUCUUGUGUUUCCCACUUAGAGAAUUUCCUUUAGCAUUUGUUGUAGAACUGGUUUGGUGGUACUGAAUUCUCUUACCUUUUGCUUGUCUGUAAAGCUUUUGAUUUCUCUGUCGAAUCUGAAUGAGAUCCUUGCCGGGUAGAGUAAUCUUGGUUUUAGGUUCUUCCCUUUCAUCACUUUACAUAUAUGGUGCUACUCCCUUCUGGCUUGUAGAGUUUCUGCUGAGAAAUCAGCUAUUAACCAUAUGGGAGUUCCUUUAUAUGUUAUUUGUUGUUUUUCCUUUGUUGCUUUUAAUAAUUUUUCUGUGUCUUUAAUUCUUGUCAAUUUGAUUACUAUGUGUCUCGGUGUGUUUCUCCUUGGCAUUAUUCUGCCUGGCGCACUCUGCACUUCCUGGACUUGGAUGGCUAUUUCCUUUCCCAUGUUAGAGAAGUUUCCGACUAUAACGUCUUCAAAUUUUUUUCGGGUCCUUUCUUUCUCUCUUCUUCCUGUCUGGGCCCCUAUAAUGCGAAUGUUGGUGUGUUUAAUGUUGUCCGGAGGUCUCUUAGCUGUCUUCAUUUCUUUUCAUUCCUUUUUCUUUAUUCUGUUCCAUGGCAGUGAUUUCCACCAUUCUGUCUUCCCAGUCAUUUAUCCAUUGUUCUAUCUCAGUUACUCUGCUAUUCAUUCCUUCUAGUGUAUUUUUCAUUUUAUUUAUUGUAUUGUUCAUCUGUUUGUUUGUUCUGUAAUUUUUCUAGGUCUUUGUUAAACAUUUCUUUUUUUUGACAUUUUAAAUGUAGUUUUUUUAAAACAUCUUUAUUGGAGUAUAAUUGCUUUAUAAUGUUGUGUUAGUUUCUGCUGUAUAACAAAGUGAAUCAGCUAUACGUAUACAUAUAUCCCCAUAUCCCCUCCCUCUUGUGCCUUCCUCCCACCCUCCAUAUCCCACCCGUCUAGGUGGUCACAAAGUACCCUGUGCUAUGUGGCUGCUUCCCACUAGCUAUCUGUUUUACAUUUGGUAGUGUAUAUAUGUCAGUGCUAGUCUCUCACUUCGCCCCAGCUUACCCUUCCCCCUCCCCAUGUCCUCAAGUCCAUUCUCUAUGUCUGUGUCUUUAUUCUUCUCCUGCCCCUAGGUUCAUUAGAACCAAUUUUUUUUUUUUUUUAGAUUUCCAUAUAUAUAUGUUUGCGUAUGGUAUUUGUUUUCCUGUUAAACAUUUCUUGUAUCUUUUUGAUCUCUGCCUCCCUUCUUUAACCGAGGUCCUGGGCCAUCUUCAGUAUCAUUAUUCUGAACUCUUUUUUUGGAAGGUUGCCUAUCUCUACUUCAUUUAGUUGUUUUUCUGGUGUUUUAUCUUGUUCGUUUAUCUGGUACAUAGUCUUCUGCAUUUUCAUUUUGUCUAUCUUUCUCUGAAUGUGGUUUCUGUUCCACAGACUGCAGGAUUGUAGUUCUUUUUGCUUCUGCUGUCUGCCCUCUGGUGGAUGAGUCUAUUUAAGAGGCUUGUGCAAGCUUCCUGACGGGAGGGACUGGUGGUGAGUAGAGCUGUGUGUUGCUCUGCUGGGCAGAGCUCAGUAAAACUUUAAUUCACUUGUCUACUAAUGGGUGGGGCUGAGUUCCCUCCCUGUUGGUUGUCUGGCCUGAGGUGACCCAGCACUGGAGCCUACAGGCUCUUUGGUGGGGCUAAUGACGGACUCUGGGAGGGCUCAUGCCAAGGAGUACUUCCCAGAACUUCUGCUGCCAGUGUCCUUGUCCCCAUGGUGAGCCACAGCCACCCCCUGCUUCUGCAGGAGACCCUCCAACACUAACAGGUAGGUCUGGUUCAGUCUCCUAUGGGGUCACUGCUCCUUCCCCCAGGUCCCGACACACACACUACUUUGUGUGUGCCCUCCACGAGUGGAGUUUCUGUUUCCCCCAGUCCUAUUGCAGUCCUUCAAUCAAAUCCCACUAGCCUUCAAAGUCUGAUUCUCUGGGAAUUCCUCCUCCCGUUGCCAGACCCUGAGGUUGGGAAGCCUGACGUGGGGCUCAGAACCUUCACUCCAGUGGGUGGACUUCUGUGGUAAUAAGUGUUCUCCAGUCUGUGAGUCACCCACCCAGCAGUUAUGGGAUUUGAUUUUAUUGUGAUUGUGCCCCUCCUACCAUCUCAUCGUGGCUUCUCCUUUGUCUCUGGAUGUGGGUUAUCUUUUUGGUGAGUUCCAGUGUCUUCCUCCAAACUCUGGAACUCCACACUCCCAUACUCUGGAAGCUUCCCUUUGGAUGUGCUGCAUCUCCCCUUCCGUGCAGGUCCUUUUGGUUCAUUUUUGUAUGUUUAAGUCUUGGCCAUUUAUUUUGGCAUUAAACCUGAGCUGGGCACUCCUAAAAAUUAAAUACUUAUGUAUAAAUCUAACAAAAUAUGCACAAGAUCUCUAUGAGGAAAACCACAAAACUCUGAUGAACAAAAUCAAAGAUCAAAGAAGAACUAAAAAAAUUGUUCCAUGUUAAUGGUUGGAAAGACUCAAUAUUGUCAAAAUGUCAGUUCUUCCCAUUUUGAUGUAUAGAUUCAAUGCAAUCCCCAGCAAAAUCUCACCAAGUUGUGGAUGUCAACAAACUGAUUCUAAAGUUUACAUGUAGAGGCAAAACUCCCAGAAUAGCCAACAAUAUUGAAGAAGAACACAGUGGGAAGAUUGAUACUACCUGACUCCAUGACUUGCUAUAAAGCUCCAUCAGGGCAGUGUGGUGCUGAUUAAAGAACAGACAAAUUCAACAGUGCAACAGAAUAGAGAGCCCAGAAAUAGACUCACACAAAUACAGCUAACUGAUAUUUGACAAAGUAGCAAAGGCAAUAUAAUGGAGAAAAGAUAGUCUUUUCAACAAAUUGUGCUAGAAUAAGUGGACAUCCACAUGC
ensembl:lncRNA